GAGACCAUUGCAUGGUGUGGACUCCUGUGUUACUUGAUGUGGGUGAAGCUCUUCCAGACAAAUCAAACACCCUUUAGGCUCUACUGACAAAUCCAUAAAAGUUUCCAACUGGAAAGACAUAUUAUCGCCAAGUGGGAAAUGGGAAGCAGAAUCAAACCAUGACAGUGUCCAGCUAAACCAGCACUAAUUACCACAGACUGAAGCUUUGCAUGAGAGCUUUGCUCCAUAUGCUUUCCAGAAUGAGGAUAUCGAUCUCACCCCACCUGUGCUGUCAACAGUGAGUCACCUCCAAUCAAUCCAAUGCCACCAGGUGUCAGUAUGAGUGGAGAGGCUUUGGCCUCAUUCCUCACUGGUCUGAGGUCAGAUCGGACCCUUCCUCCUUCAUCACACACCUCUCACUUCAGCUUCAUCGAGAAAUAAAAAAAGAGUAUUCGCUCUG